GUUGGGUAGGGGAGCGUUCUGUAAGCCUGCGAAGGUGUACUGUGAGGUAUGCUGGAGGUAUCAGAAGUGCGAAUGCUGACAUAAGUAACGAUAAUGCGGGUGAAAAACCCGCACGCCGGAAGACCAAGGGUUCCUGUCCAACGUUAAUCGGGGCAGGGUGAGUCGACCCCUAAGGCGAGGCUGAAAAGCGUAGUCGAUGGGAAACGGGUUAAUAUUCCCGUACUGGUGGUAACUGCGAUGGGGGAACGGAGAAGGCUAGGUUGUCCGGGCGACGGUCGUCCCGGUUCAAGCAGGUAGGCAGAGUGAUUAGGCAAAUCCGGUCACUUAAUGCUGAGAUGUGAUGACGAACCACUAAGGUGGUGAAGCAAUUGAUGCCCCGCUUCCAGGAAAAGCCUCUAAGCUUCAGGUUACCAACAAUCGUACCCCAAACCGACACAGGUGGUCAGGUAGAGAAUACUCAGGCGCUUGAGAGAACUCGGGUGAAGGAACUAGGCAAAAUGGUGCCGUAACUUCGGGAGAAGGCACGCUGGCGGUAGGUAAAGUCCCUUGCGGACGGCGCUGAAGCCAGUCGAAGAUACCAGCUGGCUGCAACUGUUUAUUAAAAACACAGCACUGUGCAAACACGAAAGUGGACGUAUACGGUGUGACGCCUGCCCGGUGCUGGAAGGUUAAUUGAUGGGGUCAGCCGUAAGGCGAAGCUCCUGAUCGAAGCCCCAGUAAACGGCGGCCGUAACUAUAACGGUCCUAAGGUAGCGAAAUUCCUUGUCGGGUAAGUUCCGACCUGCACGAAUGGCGUAAUGAUGGCCAGGCUGUCUCCACCCGAGACUCAGUGAAAUUGAACUCGCUGUGAAGAUGCAGUGUACCCGCGGCAAGACGGAAAGACCCCGUGAACCUUUACUAUAGCUUGACACUGAACAUUGAGCCUUGAUGUGUAGGAUAGGUGGGAGGCUUUGAAGUGUGGACGCCAGUCUGCAUGGAGCCAACCUUGAAAUACCACCCUUUAACGUUUGAUGUUCUAACCUAGGCCCAUAAACUGGGUCGGGGACCGUGUCUGGUGGGUAGUUUGACUGGGGCGGUCUCCUCCUAAAGAGUAACGGAGGAGCACGAAGGUUGGCUAAGCAUGGUCGGACAUCAUGCGGUUAGUGCAAAGGCAUAAGCCAGCUUGACUGCGAGAGUGACGGCUCGAGCAGGUACGAAAGUAGGUCUUAGUGAUCCGGUGGUUCUGAAUGGAAGGGCCAUCGCUCAACGGAUAAAAGGUACUCCGGGGAUAACAGGCUGAUACCGCCCAAGAGUUCAUAUCGACGGCGGUGUUUGGCACCUCGAUGUCGGCUCAUCACAUCCUGGGGCUGAAGUAGGUCCCAAGGGUAUGGCUGUUCGCCAUUUAAAGUGGUACGCGAGCUGGGUUUAGAACGUCGUGAGACAGUUCGGUCCCUAUCUGCCGUGGGCGUUGGAAGAUUGAGAGGGGUUGCUCCUAGUACGAGAGGACCGGAGUGAACGCACCACUGGUGUUCGGGUUGUCAUGCCAAUGGCAUUGCCCGGUAGCUAAGUGCGGAAGAGAUAACCGCUGAAAGCAUCUAAGCGGGAAACUUGCCUCGAGAUGAGUCUUCCCUGUCGCUUUAAGUGACCUAAAGGAACGUUUAAGACUAAGACGUUGAUAGGCUGGGUGUGUAAGCGUAGCGAUACGUUGAGCUAACCAGUACUAAUGAACCGUGAGGCUUAACCUG
rnacentral:rRNA from 1 species